CUGGCACAGCCUGACAUAAUAAAGGCUCUUUGUCCUGGAAUCCAGGGUCAAGUGCUAGGCUGGCUCCGCUGCUGGUAACCAUCCACUCAUUCACCAAAUAUGUACAGGGGACCUACAAGCUGUCAGGCACUGUUCUUGAUUCAGAAAGACAAAUGCCAAUAAAACCUUGGAAUGUGCCUUCUGCUGGGGAGUCGCACAGAGCAGCCAGUGAGAUAGUACAGAAGUGCUUCACAGAAUGUGGCUUGAAGGAGGAACAGUUCUGGCCUAGGUGUUCAAGGAAGAGCUCAAAAUCUAGAAGGCUGCCCUCAGUCCUCUCGCUGGACCCUUCCUCUGAGCUCUCCCUCUCAUCGCACUGGAUGGGACACAGCCAGAAGGCCAGAACAGGGCUUCAAAACCACAGAGCCCAAGUGCAAAGGCAACCAUCUGUCAGCCAAAACAAGUCCUCACCAGAACCCAACUCUGCCAGCAUCCUGAUCUUGGCCUUCCAACCUCCAGAGCUGCAAGAAAAUAUGAAAAACUAUAAUAGUACAUAAAAUCC